rnacentral:lncRNA from 1 species
GGCGCAGCUUUAUACGACCACAGAGGUCGAACCCUGAACAGUUGGGGCAAGUAUGGACACAACAUUUAAGCUUGAUACAUCUCUGAAUUUGGAUUGUGAUUAUAUAGUUGACACAACAUAUAGGUUCUGACACAGAAUGAAUGUGGUCUAAGAACUUAAACUUAAAAAUUUUAAAUUGGACAUUUACCUAUUAUGGUCCAAUAUCCAAAAUCUAAAUACAUG